GCAUAUCAAUAAGCGGAGGAAAAGAAACCAACAGGGAUUGCCCUAGUAACGGCGAGUGAAGCGGCAAGAGCUCAAAUUUGAAAUCUGGCUCCUCCGGGGUCCGAGUUGUAAUUUGCAGAGGAUGCUUCGGGUGCGGUCCCCGUCUAAGUACCCUGGAAUGGGUCGUCAUAGAGGGUGAGAAUCCCGUCUGGGACGGGUGGCCGUGUCCGUGUGAAGCUCCUUCGACGAGUCGAGUUGUUUGGGAAUGCAGCUCUAAAUGGGUGGUAAAUUUCAUCUAAAGCUAAAUAUUGGCCGGAGACCGAUAGCGCACAAGUAGAGUGAUCGAAAGAUGAAAAGCACUUUGAAAAGAGAGUUAAACAGCACGUGAAAUUGUUGAAAGGGAAGCGCUUGCGACCAGACUCGCCCGCGGGGGUUCAGCCGGUACUCGUACCGGUGUACUCCCCCGUGGGCGGGCCAGCGUCGGUUUGGGCGGCCGGUCAAAGGCCUCCGGAAUGUAUCGCCCUUCGGGGCGUCUUAUAGCCGGGGGUGCAAUGCGGCCAGCCUGGACCGAGGAACGCGCUUCGGCUCGGACGCUGGCGUAAUGGUCGUAAGCGGCCCGUCUUGAAACACGGACCAAGGAGUCUAACAUCUACGCGAGUGUUCGGGUGUCAAACCCGUCCGCGCAGUGAAAGCGAACGGAGGUGGGAACCCCGUACGGGGUGCACCAUCGACCGAUCCUGAUGUCUUCGGAUGGAUUUGAGUAAGAGCGUAGCUGUUGGGACCCGAAAGAUGGUGAACUAUGCCUGAAUAGGGCGAAGCCAGAGGAAACUCUGGUGGAGGCUCGCAGCGGUUCUGACGUGCAAAUCGAUCGUCAAAUUUGGGUAUAGGGGCGAAAGACUAAUCGAACCAUCUGGUAGCUGGUUCUGC
rnacentral:rRNA from 1 species